rnacentral:ncRNA from 1 species
ACAAAUUGAAGAGGCGCAACCGACAAGAGUAAGGCAAGGGAGCCAGCCAGGCGGAGAACUUGCAAGAAAGGGGAGGUUGCCGAAGCGUCCGUUUUGGCAAGGCGGAUUGGCUGGGCUAUGGCUUAAGAGGCCAUGGACUGUCGCAGGGAAGGUACCUGCGUUGCGCUUGCAAUUUGA